GGGAAUAUUGGACAAUGGGCGCAAGCCUGAUCCAGCAAUGCCGCGUGAGUGAUGAAGGCCUUAGGGUUGUAAAGCUCUUUUACCCGGGAUGAUAAUGACAGUACCGGGAGAAUAAGCUCCGGCUAACUCCGUGCCAGCAGCCGCGGUAAUACGGAGGGAGCUAGCGUUAUUCGGAAUUACUGGGCGUAAAGCGCACGUAGGCGGCUUUGUAAGUAAGAGGUGAAAGCCCAGGGCUCAACUCUGGAAUUGCCUUUUAGACUGCAUCGCUUGAAUCAUGGAGAGGUCAGUGGAAUUCCGAGUGUAGAGGUGAAAUUCGUAGAUAUUCGGAAGAACACCAGUGGCGAAGGCGGCUGACUGGACAUGUAUUGACGCUGAGGUGCGAAAGCGUGGGGAGCAAACA
rnacentral:rRNA from 1 species